rnacentral:rRNA from 1 species
AAUAGAUACCCCGGUAGUCCACGCCGUAAACGAUGUCGACUUGGAGGUUGUGCCCUUGAGGCGUGGCUUCCGGAGCUAACGCGUUAAGUCGACCGCCUGGGGAGUACGGCCGCAAGGUUAAAACUCAAAUGAAUUGACGGGGGCCCGCACAAGCGGUGGAGCAUGUGGUUUAAUUCGAUGCAACGCGAAGAACCUUACCUACUCUUGACAUCCAGAGAACUUAGCAGAGAUGCUUUGGUGCCUUCGGGAACUCUGAGACAGGUGCUGCAUGGCUGUCGUCAGCUCGUGUUGUGAAAUGUUGGGUUAAGUCCCGCAACGAGCGCAACCCUUAUCCUUUGUUGCCAGCGGUUCGGCCGGGAACUCAAAGGAGACUGCCAGUGAUAAACUGGAGGAAGGUGGGGAUGACGUCAAGUCAUCAUGGCCCUUACGAGUAGGGCUACACACGUGCUACAAUGGCAUAUACAAAGAGAAGCGAACCUCGCGAGAGCAAGCGGACCUCAUAAAGUAUGUCGUAGUCCGGA